GUUGCUUUUGCAAAUUGUUUAAUCUAUCUGGGUGAAUGGAAGAGAGGGAAGGCAGAGAAUCAGGAACCCUCCUCCAAGAGAGCAGAACCAUCAACAUGCCAAUUGUCUAAGAGUUAUCUCAAAGGAACAGCAAUGUGAAUGCACCACAUGGUAUGGGCAGUUUACACGUCCUGCAUACGUGCUCCCUUCGUCUGUGGAACUGCAAAUCAGAGACCAGGAUGGUCUUAUGAUGCCAAGGGAAAAAGUCUGGAAGGGUAUUGGAGGAGAAGAGAUUCUACCCUUGAAGUGUAGGCUCCAUAAACGAUCAGAGGCACAGCAAAGAAUUUCACGGACUGAAUCUCAGGCUCCUGAGAUUUUCCAGAUGGUUUUUAUAUAAAUUUUGUAAAACUUAGAAUAACUUUCCAAUUAUUUGUUACAUGUGCCACGUGGCUUCUUAUUAUCAAGGAUUCUUGAACUGUUUGCUAUUCACUUUGAGAACGCUAGGUUAAAAUUUGCCUCUGUUAUUUUUUUUUUCUGCACCAAUCUCUGUAAAUAUAUACUUUAGUUGAACAAACAGCUGCUUAAAUCUUGCCUGGUGAAUUGAAAUGUAAGAUGGAGCUUUUUUCCCUAACAAAAGGAACAACCUUAAAGAUAAUUUUAGAUAGUGUCAAACAUUUUAUCUGUAUAGCCUUUCCCUGAUUGUAAGAAUAUAAAAAAUAACAUGCUUGCUAUAAAAAUUGAAACAUUACACAAAGAUGUAAUGUAGAAAGUCCCCUGUAAUCGCAUACCCUAAAGAUCAAAACAAUAAUUAAGCCUAUGACCAUAACACAUUUUCAUUUUACUAAGUAUCUUCCAAAUGCAAAUAUCGCAUUACCUAGUUGUGAUGGCAGUACAUCUACUAGCUGGUUUUAUUUUGUUUUUUGCUUUUUCCUUCCUGCUCCUUUAUAAAAUAAGGAUAUGGGGAUUUUUAAGAAGAAAUUAACUUAUUUUAGGUCAUUAGAGUUGUCCAUGGUUAGCACAUCCAAUGGGUUAAAGAUGUAUAACCUGUUGUGUCUAGGAUUUGUUCACCCAGUCACUGGUUACAUCUGGAAGCCAGGAUUCCCCUCUCCACACCUCUGAGGCUUGGCUUUCUGUGUCCCUGUCCCUUGUACUCCAACUCUUCGAAAGUCAGAGCCCCAGGGAGACCUCCCAGUGUCAGGGAUCCCCUCCCCAUCCUCACCAACUUCUCAAAGCUUUUCAGAAAUACAGGCCUUGGACCUAGCAGGAUGUAGUACCACAUAUUAUAUUGCAGUGUGUAUUUUUUCAUCGUAAUAGUGGAGAAGUAAUUUAGGAAAGUUUCAAUACUUCAAGACGUUAUGCACUUAAAUACAGGACUUGCUCUUAAGAAUGUAGUACAGUGACAAGAGGGACUACUUAUUUCAGAUCUACUUUAUGUCCAAAUCAUAGAUUAGCUUUUCGAGAGUCAGCAUUUGGAUACAAUCACAAUGUGGUAUGUACAUGUAUUUUAAGUUCUAACUACUUCUGUGUGCACUGUACAUAAAUCUGGAGAAUGCAAAAAAAAUGACCGGAGCACAUUAACAUACCAAUAAGUAAGAAUUACUAGCAACAGAGUAAAGAACAGUUUGUUCUAUAAAACUGUUGCUCAAAUAAAGAAUUAUUGUUGAUAUUAGCAUAGAGUUAAUACAACUUUUUCCAAAUUCCUAGGUUUAUGGGCAGUCUGGCUAGCCACAGUUUUUCAGGAUCAUUAUUAAAGCUUAACUUUUGGGAAUUUUAACCCCAAAUGUUCUAAGACAUCGAGUAACUGACCUUUUCAUCCCGCUAAAAAAGCCUCAAUGUGAGAUUGCCAGCUAUCCUACAGGAAAUUGAGUCACCACACCAAACAACACACCUAAAUGUCAUCAACAGCGAAUAGGACAAAAACAGUGAACUAGUUUAAUUUUGGAUUUUACCAAGAACACAUACUGUAUUCAUUAAAAAAAAAAUACUUUUUCUCCCCAGAGAGUAGUAUUCACUGUGGCACUACUUGAAACUAUAUGAAAACUCUUCUAUUUAACUGUCCAAAAUCUUGCCAAGUCAAGGAACUACAGGGAGAAAGAUGCCCAAGCCAGAAAUUGUUGGCUAAAUUCCAUAAAAGCUAGGAGAGGGCUAUCGGACAGCAACUGAGAAAUAGCUUGAGCCUUUGGAAAUCCCCUCCUACAGCAGCAUCGGUUUUCUUCAAGGCACCCUUGAACUAUGUAACACCCCUGGUACUAUGUAACACCGGUGCUUCUGCUCAGGAGCUUCUGUGAACAAACAGUCCUCAAUUCUUGCAGGCCAGCACUUGGCUUCCGUCAUUGUGAUGCGAUCAAGGGUUCCCCUGACACAUGCCCUGAAACGGUGCCAGAGGCUCUAGGAGAAGAUGCUGAAGCAGCAGCUUCCCUUUGAAAAGGAAAAGAGUAAUCGCCUCACAGCCACAGCCGUUAGCUGGAGGUUGAGGUCGCUUUCUUGUGAAAUGUUCAGCCAAUUACCCUUACCCACAGCUUACAGUGAUGUUGACCAUUGAGGUUUAUUGGGACGUGACUCCAUCGUAAGUUGAGGAAGAUGUGCAUUUGUUUUCAGUGUGAAUUUUAUUUGAUUCAUCACUCACUGCUCUAUCUUGCACACUCCAUCAUCCUCAUCUCCUGAUCUUCGUUCUGACUUUUCACGUGGGAAGAGAACUUCCUUAAACGAUCACCCAUAAAGGAGAUAUUGGUGGUGGGUAUACUUUUUGAUUCCUUGCACUUCAAAAGGCAUGGUGCUUCUUAAGCUUUCUGGAAGUCUAAUAAAUCCUUUGAGAAUUUGAUACAAAACUUUCCUAUGAUCCGCAUUUUUUAUUUUAAAAAUGUUCCCUGACCUCCCUGAAGUCACCAGGAGCUCCAGAUUGAGAAUUCCUUCUUGAAUGGAGAAGAGAAAAUAAUUGUUUUAAUCAACACUGCUCCAGAAUCUUUUAUUCAGAAUCAGUACCUCUGCUGCCUUGUUUGUUCUCUCACUCCCCUUUACUAGGAGACAUUGACAGAGAAGUAAUGUCAAAGAGACAUUUAUUCCAUUAAAAAAAAUUGAAGUCUGAGCUAAGAAAAAAAUAAACAAGCAGUGUCCAAUGAAAGACUAGGCUCCUUUAAACACUCUAUGAAUAGAGUCUGAGAAGGGUAAUUUCUUAUGUCCAAUUUUUAUUCUCACUACUUGUACUAUAAGUAGAAGAGAUGAAUGAGAAGCCAUGUUGGCCUACUGGUAAACUUACAUUUGUUAAAUGUAUAGACAUUAUAGAGCAAGUUUCAGAACUUAAGAUUACAUCACGUAUACUUGGCUUGUCCACUUGUAAAUGAGCUGGCUCCAUUCACAAACUUAAGUGAAAUAAAUCAGUUUCCCAGUUGUACGACAGUAUCUAGGGAGAUUUAGAUUUGGAUAAGAAAGCUCUUACACACACGCAAGAAUCCAUGCUCUAUAGAGUUCCCCAUGGGA